CGUUGCCGCCUUCAAUUGUGCCGUGGCCAUCUGGUCAGCCACAAGGAGAUCCAUUGCUGCGGUGACCCCAUUUGUGCUUGGAUUUGUGCCAAUGUUGUGUAUCAGUGAAUUCUGAGGCAGUGAGGGUUGUUGGACAGAUUUAUCAUCGUCGGAAGAGCCACAAACUGCUAAUAAGGAUUUUCUCAACAAAAUUGGUUGGUUCAUUAAUCUGUACAAGAGAAGCAAUUUAUCUCAUGAAAUUCGAAGACAGGGAGAGCAA